rnacentral:tRNA from 1 species
GCCCCUGUAGCUCAGCGGGAGAGCACCUCGCUUACAACGAGGCUGUCGGGAGUUCAAAUCUCUCCAGGGGUA